GAAAUGCGAAAAGUAAUGUGAAUUGCAGAAUUCAGUGAAUCAUCGAAUCUUUGAACGCACAUUGCGCCCGCUGGAACUCCGGCGGGCAUGCCUGUCCGAGCGUCAUUUCAACCCUCAGGCCCCCCUCUCGGGGGCGGGCCUGGUGUUGGGGCUCGGCCGCUACCCUGCGGCCGUCCCCUAAAUUCAGUGGCGGCCACGCUGCAAUCCCUUGCGUAGUACUGUACCUCGCACCGGAGCGCGACGCGGCCACGCCGUAAAACCCCCAAACUUUAAUGGUUGACCUCGGAUCAGGUAGGAAUACCCGCUGAACUUAA
rnacentral:misc_RNA from 1 species